rnacentral:rRNA from 1 species
GUCUACGGCCAUACUACAGUGAACGCGCCCAAUCUCGUCUGAUUUUGAAAGCUAAGCAGGGGCGGGCCUGGUUAGUAAUUU